rfam:Erinaceus europaeus unplaced genomic scaffold scaffold00707, whole genome shotgun sequence
GUGCUCUCUUUGACAGUACAUAUACUAAAAUUGGAACAAUACAGAGAUUAGCAUGGUCCCUGUGCAAGGAUGACACGCAAAUCCGUGAAGUGUCCCAUACACAC